rnacentral:rRNA from 1 species
AAAAUGACUCUCGGCAACAGAUAUCUUGGCUCUUGUAUUGACGAAUAAUGCAUCGAAAUGCGAUAUUAGGUGUGAAUUGUAGAAUCCCAUGAACCAUUGAGACUUUAAACGCAAGUUGCGCCCGAAGCCUUUUGGAUGAGGGCACGUUUGCCUGGGUGUCAUG